GAUAAACGCUGGCGGCGUGCAUAACACAUUCAAGUCGAACGGACUGAUUCGGAAGCUUGCUUCUGAUGAAAGUUAGUGGCGGACGGGUGAGUAACGCGUGAGCAACCUGCCUAUCAGUGGGGAAUAACGUUUGGAAACGGACGCUAAUACCGCAUGAAGCAUGAGAUCCACAUGGAUUUCAUGUCAAAGAUUUAUUGCUGAUAGAUGGGCUCGCGUCUGAUUAGCUAGUUGGAGAGGUAACGGCUCCCCAAGGCGACGAUCAGUAGCCGGACUGAGAGGUUGAACGGCCACAUUGGAACUGAGAUACGGUCCAGACUCCUACGGGAGGCAGCAGUGGGGAAUAUUGGGCAAUGGGGGAAACCCUGACCCAGCGACGCCGCGUGAGGGAAGAAGGUCUUCGGAUUGUAAACCUUUGUUAACAGGGACGAAACAAAUGACGGUACCUGAAUAGAAAGCCACGGCUAACUACGUGCCAGCCGCCGCCGUAAGAC
rnacentral:rRNA from 1 species